GACGAACGCUGGCGGCGUGCCUAAUACAUGCGAGUUGAGCGAUGAAGAUUGGUGCUUGCACCAAUUUGAAGAGCAGCGAACGGGUGAGUAACGCGUGGGGAAUCUGCCUUUGAGCGGGGGACAACAUUUGGAAACGAAUGCUAAUACCGCAUAACAACUUUAAACAUAAGUUUUAAGUUUGAAAGAUGCAAUUGCAUCACUCAAAGAUGAUCCCGCGUUGUAUUAGCUAGUUGGUGAGGUAAAGGCUCACCAAGGCGAUGAUACAUAGCCUAACUGAGAGGGGGAUCGGCCACAUUGGGAGUGGAACACGGCCCAAACUUCUAGGGGAGGGAGCAGUAGGGAAUCUUCGGCAAUGGAAGAAAGUCUGAUCGAGGAACGCCGCGGGAGUGAAGAAGGUUUGCGGAUCGUAAAACUCUGUUGGUAGAGAAGAACGUUGGUGAGAGUGGAAAGCUCAUCAAGUGACGGUAACUACACAGAAAGGGACGGCUAACUACGUG
rnacentral:rRNA from 1 species